AUGCAGGCCGGGAGGAGCGCCAUGGAGGCCACCAAGGAGGCGGCGGCGAACGUGGGCGCCUCCGCCUGCUCCGGCAUGGAGAAGACGCGGGCCACCCUGCAGGGGCAGGUGGACAAGGCCACGGCGCACAGCGCCGCCGACAGGGAGGCGGCCGAGACGAGGACGCGGGAGCGCGUGCACGGCGCCGAGGAGGUCAAGCGGGACGCCAUGCUCGCCAACGCCGCCGCCAAGGAGCGGGCCAGCGCCGGGGAGUACCACCCGUCGCAGGGCGCGCCGGGGAUUGUGCCGGGCGGCGCCCCCGUUGGCGGCCACGUCGAGGCCGGCGUGGCCCAGAGCCGGCCGCUCGGCGCCGCCACGGGCACCGGGAGGCCCAGCGCCGCCCAUAACCCGCGCGUCGGCGGCGGCGCCGCGCCGGCGACCGGCACCGGCGGGCAGUACCAGUGA
rnacentral:rRNA from 1 species